GUUAGCUUUUCUGCUGUCUAUAGGACUGAAGGGCAAUGACACUUCAAGAGUUAGGAAGAGAGAGGGGAGUGAGCAGCAAGUCAUUUCAUAGGCAACAAUCAGCUGCAGAGCAAUACUGGCUUUACUGGAAAUCCAAAGCUGACUUGAUUAUUUCUUUAAUAUACAACACAAAUCCACAGCCAUUAAGGGAACUUAUGAAAAACUAGCCACACUAAGUAUGAUAGAAGUCACAAUACUACUUUGAAAACAUGUUUUAAAUCUGUGAAAUAGAAACCAAGAGUUGACAUAGAGUCUCUUAUUUUCUAGUAGGUGUUAGGUUCCCACAGUUCUUGGAAGAUAAAAGAGACCCAAACACUGGGCAUAAAGAUAGGCCUAGAAAGCAACAAAGCAUUUUCCACGGAAAUGCUCAUUCAGAAUCUUGUAUUUCUUUAUCCAAAUGUAUUGAGAUUUAAAUCAACUGAGUCUCUUCUCAUUUUUAAUUUUAUUUUAUAUAAAAGACAGAUUUAGGAUAUUGUAAGAAAUCACUAAGUUACAUUUUUCAAAAAAUCUGUCAAGUGCUACAGUAAUGAAAUAAAUAAAUAAGAUUUUUCAAAGUUCAAUGUUUAUAGACAUAUUUAUAAAAAAAAUGACUGAAUUAGAAGACAUUAAAUAAUGCUGAUACACACCAGGAAGGGACUUAGGCAAGGAAAGGCACAUCAUUUCACCACAAGAAAUAAAGACCAUGUUUGGAAGUUAACGACCAGGUGGUUGUGGUAGUUUUUCUAACUCCAGAGGGUCUUUAUGGUGGAACGUUCUUUAUGGUACUUAGUUGAAAUAAAGAGAUAGGAGUUGAAGAAUUUUACUCUGUGAACCCAACGUAGUAUUAAAAAGAAAGCAUUCUUGUAUUAAGGGAGAAGAAGCAAAAAUCCAAAUGUUUUGGUGGUACCGAAAAUCCUAUGACACACUACGGAGAUUUUUU